UACGGGGGGGGCAAGCGUUGUUCGGAAUUACUGGGCGUAAAGGGCUCGUAGGCGGCCAACUAAGUCAGACGUGAAAUCCCUCGGCUUAACCGGGGAACUGCGUCUGAUACUGGAUGGCUUGAGUUUGGGAGAGGGAUGCGGAAUUCCAGGUGUAGCGGUGAAAUGCGUAGAUAUCUGGAGGAACACCGGUGGCGAAGGCGGCAUCCUGGACCAACACUGAUGCUGAGGAGCGAAAGCCAGGGGAGCAAACGGG
rnacentral:rRNA from 1 species